rnacentral:rRNA from 1 species
CAGUCGCCACGGUAAUACGAAGGGGGCUAGCGUUGCUCGGAAUGACUGGGCGUAAAGGGCGCGUAGGCGGAUUGUUUAGUUAGGCGUGAAAUUCCUGGGCUUAACCUGGGGACUGCGCUUAAUACAGGCAGUCUAGAGUGAGGAAGAGGGUUGUGGAAUUCCCAGUGUAGAGGUGAAAUUCGUAGAUAUUGGGAAGAACACCGAUGGCGAAGGCGGCAACCUGGUCCUUGACUGACGCUGAGGCGCGAAAGCGUGGGGAGCAAACAGGAUUAGAUACCCCUGUAGUCCCUGUCUCUUAUAC